CACCUCCAGUUUCUUUACCCCUCCGAUCUAAAUAUUGGUCUGCAUGACUUAAAAAGGAAGAAAAGUAAAACUGAAGUGAACUUGGAUUUUUCAAUGACAUACAAGGUCAUUUCAAACAUAA
rnacentral:snoRNA from 1 species